GACGAACGCUGGCGGCGUGCCUAAUACAUGCAAGUCGAACGCUUCUUUCCUCCCGAGUGCUUGCACUCAAUUGGAAAGAGGAGUGGCGGACGGGUGAGUAACACGUGGGUAACCUACCCAUCAGAGGGGGAUAACACUUGGAAACAGGUGCUAAUACCGCAUAACAGUUUAUGCCGCAUGGCAUAAGAGUGAAAGGCGCUUUCGGGUGUCGCUGAUGGAUGGACCCGCGGUGCAUUAGCUAGUUGGUGAGGUAACGGCUCACCAAGGCCACGAUGCAUAGCCGACCUGAGAGGGUGAUCGGCCACACUGGGACUGAGACACGGCCCAGACUCCUACGGGAGGCAGCAGUAGGGAAUCUUCGGCAAUGGACGAAAGUCUGACCGAGCAACGCCGCGUGAGUGAAGAAGGUUUUCGGAUCGUAAAACUCUGUUGUUAGAGAAGAACAAGGACGUUAGUAACUGAACGUCCCCUGACGGUAUCUAACCAAAAAGCCACGGCUAACUACGUG
rnacentral:rRNA from 1 species